GUCAGUUUAUGCAUAACUUUUAUAUGGCAUUAAUGUGUAUUAUUUUUGUGGCAGAAAGGAAACCAGAGCUCCCUGUCAAAUGAAGAAUACAUUUUAAAAUUCUAUUUUGUUUAUAAAGCCCUCAAAAUUGUGUAUCCCUCAGUAUCUGACAAAACUCAUCCAUCUGUACACUCUUUCCAGAACUCUGAGAUCUUGUGAUCGGUGGCCUGAAACUUUGGAACAGCCUUCCUCUCCAUAUCAGAAUAGGUCCCUCUAUUUUCAUUUUUAAGUCUUCAUACUUAUUAUCUCUUGCUUUUAAUACUCAUUGACCAUUGGUUUGUACUAUUAUUGUUUGUUCCUUAUUACUGGUAGUUCUUAGUCUUUUUUUUUAUCUUGGACAGCACUUUAUCAACCUUGGUUCUUUUUAAAACAUUUUUCAUAAAUAUUGUAUAGUUUGUAAAACUAAAUUGCACCAAAUUUAGCUUUUUCCUUAACAUUUUUUUCUGUAUUGUUUAUAUCUUACAUUUUGAUCUUUAAUAGCCAAAUACAAUGUCAUCUUAAUAGUAUUGCAAUAUAUGUCUCCUAACAUCUUUAUUGUCAUACAGUAUGAAUCAUAUCCGCCAGAUUCUUGGUGAUACACAGACCUAUAAAAUCACAGACUUUUCACAAUUUAAGAAGGUUGCUAAGCCAUAUUGUGCUUUCUGUAUUACUUCAUUUGACAGGUACUUCAAAGACAUUGCUCGUGGUAAAAUAGCGCUGAUUGCGAAAUACAGGAUGUGUGAAUUAACUUGUGAGAUUCUUGAUAUGAGACUUUUCAUUCUCUGGACGAUAGUCGAUGCAGACACUCCGCUUGUGAUGUCGUUUGUUCCUAUGUGGAGAAUCACUAUUGUGUAGUUGUGCAGUUUCUCAAAGUGUUUCACGUGUUGUUGAACGGAUCUCACAAGAGUCGUGUUUGGAUGAAUCCAACAUUGUGCGUUUGGAAAGUAGUGCUCAAUAUCCCAACACACUGAGUCUGUGAGGAAGCAGACCUGAAGACCUGGAGAAGAACACAAAUACUUGUUUUAACUAUUCUCAGUAUGAAUUAUGGGUAUAUUGAAUGUUUAUUGAUAAAGUGUGUAUUAGUUGCUUACCUUUUGGAACGAUGAAUGUUCUUUUGCUGAUUGUAGUUCUUAUUGAGCUUUUAUCUAAAGAGACAUGGAGAAGGCAUGUUAAUAUGUUAGUACAGUGAUAUUUUUGUUUGUAAACGGCUUCUGAUGCUCUGAAUUUUAUUCAGUAUUGUUAUUAUAGCUUUCAUGUGCACUAACCAUCUGUUUGUUCCCCAUUAUCUUCUUGUUUCACUCUGAAUGCUUCUUCAAUAUUCACGUCUUCACUCUCCACCUUAAUAAAUGCCAUCUUUAUAAUAGAGUGUCA
ensembl:lncRNA